rnacentral:rRNA from 1 species
ACAGCAGCAGCCGCGGUAAUACGAAGGGUGCAAGCGUUACUCGGAAUUACUGGGCGUAAAGCGUGCGUAGGUGGUGGUUUAAGUCCGUUGUGAAAGCCCUGGGCUCAACCUGGGAAUUGCAGUGGAUACUGGAUCACUAGAGUGUGGUAGAGGAUAGUGGAAUUUCCGGUGUAGCAGUGAAAUGCGUAGAGAUCGGAAGGAACAUCUGUGGUGAAGGCGACUAUCUGGGCCAACACUGACACUGAGGCACGAAAGCGUGGGGAGCAAACAGGAUUAGAUACCCCCGUAGUCCCUGUCUCUUAUAC